GGUCUAGGAAUCCGAUGUCAUCACUAAAAGCCAAUGACCCAGCUGCCUCAUGCCCAUCAGGCUUUAUUAAUGCUCUGAUGGCAGAAGGGCAGCGGACACUCGAUGUCCCAAGUCUGUGCUCCUUGGUGAGCCCAAGGAGGAUGCGUGGCUGGCAUCCCACAACAGUCUCAAAGGGACAUGGCUGCUGGAACUGUGGCAUCUGUGGUUUUUAUCUGACUUUCAAGCUGAGACC